GUCAGGAUGGCUGAACGGUCUAAGGCGCUGCGUUUAUGUCGCAGUCCAUUCUGGGCGUGGUUUCGAAUCCCACGUUUUACA